rnacentral:rRNA from 1 species
CCUACGGGCGGCAGCAGUGAGGAAUAUUGGUCAAUGGACGAGAGUCUGAACCAGCCAAGUAGCGUGAAGGAAGACUGCCCUAUGGGUUGUAAACUUCUUUUAUAUGGGAAUAAAAUGUUCCACGUGUGGGAUUUUGUAUGUACCAUAAGAAUAAGGAUCGGCUAACUCCGUGCCAGCAGCCGCGGUAAUACGGAGGAUCCGAGCGUUAUCCGGAUUUAUUGGGUUUAAAGGGAGCGUAGGUGGAUUGUUAAGUCAGUUGUGAAAGUUUGCGGCUCAACCGUAAAAUUGCAGUUGAAACUGGCAGUCGUGAGUACAGUAGAGGUGGGCGGAAUUCGUGGUGUAGCGGUGAAAUGCUUAGAUAUCACGAAGAACUCCGAUUGCGAAGGCAGCUCACUGGACUGCAACUGACACUGAGGCUCGAAAGUGUGGGUAUCAAACAGGAUUAGAUACCCCAGUAGUC